GGGGAGUGUGUGAAGCUGUGUGAAAGUCUGACCGACUGACUCUUAAUCAGUAGGUUGAAGGUUCGAUUCCUUCACGGCCCACCA
rnacentral:tRNA from 1 species